CGCAAUAGUUGGAUAUCCAGUAAUAUCGGUAAUGGUUUAUAUGAAGAUAUUAUUUACCUCUUCCAGCCUGGUUUGCCUACAAAAAAAUAUAUAUAUUCGAAUCGUUGUAAUAUCGAAGCAGUAAGAUCACGGCAGCCGGCUGAACGACGGUACGCGCCCGCCGCCGCCUCCUUGCCUAAGCAGGAGGGGCGGCAACUUCCUCGGGCCUCCUCGUUCUUUUCGCGCCGAGGGGCCGCCCUGACACUUUCGCGACGCGUAAUCUUGUUGAGCCGGAUAAGCAGAAAAUUCAGGUAGCCUCCCUAAACACACAAUCAGCUGUCCUAUGGCGCGGGCCUCGGCUCGGGCGGGGAGGGCUGCAGGGGCUGGCGCGGUUACCGGCGGAUGAACGUGUCCCCUCCGAGCACAAUGCAGCGGCCCCCUACCUGCAGUGGUCAGGCCGCAUCCUUCAUAUGACAGCCGACCGUGACAAAAAAUUCCCUUACCGUUGCAUAUUCCCAAGUGCAUUGUAAGAGUAUUGUCCUCCUCGCACGUUCCCCUCCCGUGGUCAGUGGCCUCAGCUGCAUUGCCGUCCGCGCUGGCCGCGCCUGCAUUGGGUGCCAGCGUCGGCGGCCUCGCCCGAGCCGGCAAAAAGUCACCCCCGCUCUCAGGAGGUUGGUUCGCCUUUGUCCCCCUUUUGUGCCCCCGGUCAGGGCAGCAACAAAUUCUUCGUUGGUCACUAGAUUAAUCUGCAUUGCCUCUGCUGGACAAUGGGUAGCUCAGUUUUUACACCUUGGUCGGCCUGGGCCCUGUCGUGGUCCCUCUGCAGCCCCUUGGCUGCCGGCCGCAGCAGCCAUCAAGAACUUUGACCAGUUUCCUUCUGAGUGUGGUCGGGGAGGUGCCGGGCGGGACGCAGCGCCGGGCAGCAGCCUUACACUGCAUAAAAAGACAUUCACACAUUCGACUACGUUAAAAAUAAGGUCUUAUGGCGCCUUCUACACGCGAUGGCGGAGCGAGGACGGAGGGGCGGAAGGCCGGACGGGCGGGCGGGUCGACGAGAGGAGGAAGAGACAACAAGGAGAGACGGAGAGGGCCUUGUGUUGGCCUCUUUAUUGGCGGAGCUCCUGUCCUGCCUCCGACGGCUCCAAUAUGUGUCCUCGGCUAGAGACCAGAUAGCACCCAAGCCAUCUCUGAAUCGCAAAUGUUUUAUGCUUUUCUCUCCAAGAGAAGCGGCUGGACGAUAUCAGACAACAGCAAUGAUCACUGGACAAGAGCGACUUUGAUUUAGCCAAACCACACACUAGUCACGCUCCUCCAAUAUUCGGUCGUCUUGGGCGGCGAGAAGGAUGGCGGCCGUGAGGGUGCACGAGGAGGCCUGUCUCGCCCCUGAUAGCCGGUCAACACACGCCCCCACCGCCCUCAAGGAGCCUCCGAGCGAGGGACGCGGUAAACAGCAGGGCCGGGCGGCGGAGGGCGCGGCGCACCACUCUGCUCCGCCUCUCAGCGCCUCGCACUGCCCUGCCCCCGCCUCCACCGCCCACCCUCACGCCUCCACCACACCCUGCACGACGCUCACAAUACUAAAAUCAAAUGUAACUGAGAUCCUCUGUAGCCAAAAAAAUCAGUUGUACCUUAGUAAGAUGAAUAAAAUAUAUAUCUGUAAUGUACAAUGUAAGGCGGUUCAUAAUGGUAUGAUUGGCAUCCUG